AUACAGAGGGUGCGAGCGUUAAUCGGAAUUACUGGGCGUAAAGCGUGCGUAGGUGGUCUGUUAAGUCAGGUGUGAAAGCCCUGGGCUCAACCUAGGAACUGCAUUUGAUACUGCCGAACUCGAGUCCCGGAGAGGGUAGUGGAAUUCCCAGUGUAGCGGUGAAAUGCGUAGAUAUUGGGAGGAACACCAGUGGCGAAGGCGGCUACCUGGACGGGUACUGACGCUGAGGCGCGAAAGCGUGGGGAGCAAACAGGAUUAGAUACCCCAGUAGUCC
rnacentral:rRNA from 1 species